GCUGGGUGUGCUGGCGUGCACCUGUAAUCCCAGCUACUUGGGAGGCUGAGGCAGCAGAAUCGCUUGAACCUGGGAGGCGGAGGCUGCAGUGAGCUGAGAUUGUGUCACUGCACUCUCCAGCCUGGGUGACAGAGUGAGACUCAGUCUCAA
rnacentral:sRNA from 1 species